rfam:Schistosoma mattheei strain Denwood, Zambia genome assembly, scaffold: SMTD_scaffold0009184
AUCCAGCUGAUGAAUCCCAAAUGGGGCGAAACGCGUGUUCUGGAU